UACAGAGGUCCCAAGCGUUGUCCGGAAUCAUUGGGCGUAAAGCGCGUGUAGGCGGUUCGGUAAGUCCGCUGUGAAAGUCGGGGGCUCAACCCUCGAAUGCCGGUGGAUACUGUCGAACUAGAGUGCGGAAGAGGCGAGUGGAAUUCCUGGUGUAGCGGUGAAAUGCGCAGAUAUCAGGAGGAACACCAAUUGCGAAGGCAGCUCGCUGGGACGUAACUGACGCUGAGACGCGAAAGCGUGGGGAGCAAACAGG
rnacentral:rRNA from 1 species